CCUACGGGAGGCAGCAGUGGGGAAUAUUGCACAAUGGGGGAAACCCCGAAGCAGCGAAGCCGCGUGAGUGAAGAAGUAUUUCGGUAUGGAAAGCCCUGUCAGCAGGGAAGAAAAUGACGGUACCUGACCAAGAAUCCCCGGCUAACUACGUGACAGCUGCCGCGGUAAUACGUAGGGGGCAAGCGUUAUCCGGAUUUAAUGGGGGUAAAGGGGGCGUAGACGGCAGGGCAAGUCUGGAGUGAAAGGCGGGGGCUCAAGCCCCGGACUGCUCUGGAAACUGCCAGGCUGGAGUGCAGGUGAGGUAAGUGGAAUUCCUAGUGUAGCGGUGAAAUGCGUAGAUAUUAGGAGGAACACCAGUGGCGAAGGCGGCUUACUGGACUGUAACUGACGUUGAGGCUCGAAAGCGUGGGGAGCAAACAGGAUUAGAUACCCCGGUAGUC
rnacentral:rRNA from 1 species